rnacentral:lncRNA from 1 species
ACUCAAUAAAACAGCAACUCCUACUUGGUUUGGUGGUUUGUGGGCAUUUGUGCUAGUACAGAGGUCGCGGGUUCGAUUCCCAUCUUUUUUCUUUUUCUAUUUUUGGUUUCUAAUUUAUAACUCCUUUCGUUUUGUAAAAUAGCAAUAUAAUAGUGAAAUUCUAAAAUUGCACGUGAAAUUUUAGAUGCAAUUCUAAAAUUGCAAGCAAAAUUUUAUGUUUAAUUUAAAAAUUGCACGUGAAAUUUUAUGCACAAUUGUAAAAAAUGCACGUGAAAUUUAUGUGCAAAUUUAUUUUUGAUUUCUCUUCUAUAGCUUGUUCUUUUGUCUACAAAUUGAGCGUCCACCCCAUGGCAAUUCGUAUAUGUCAAUAAUACAAAAUAUUCUUCAUUUAAAGAACUUAUUUUUAAAAAAAAUAUCUGUCCAAUUUAACCUGAAAUUUUUAGAAUCG